AGAAUUAACGCUGGCGGCGUGCCUAACACAUGCAAGUCGCACGAGAAAGGGACUUCGGUCCUGAGUACAGUGGCGCACGGGUGAGUAACACGUGAAUAAUCUACCUCCGAGUGGGGAAUAACUGAGAGAAAUCUUAGCUAAUACCGCAUAACACUUACGAGUCAAAGCAGCAAUGCGCUUGGAGAGGAGUUCGCGGCAGAUUAGUUAGUUGGCGGGGUAAUGGCCCACCAAGACGAUGAUCUGUA
rnacentral:rRNA from 1 species